AGAGCGAACGCUGGCGGCAGGCCUAACACAUGCAAGUCGAGCGCGUGUAGCAAUACACGAGCGGCAGACGGGAGAGUAACACGUGGGAACGCGCCCUUCGGUUCGGAAUAACUCAGGGAAACUUGAGCUAAUACCGGAUACGCCCUUACGGGGAAAGAUUUAUUGCCGAAGGAACGGCCCGCGUCCGAUUAGCUAGUUGGUGAGGUAACGGCUCACCAAGGCGACGAUCGGUAGCUGGUCUGAGAGGAUGACCAGCCUCACUGGGACUGAGACACGGCCCAGACUCCUACGGGAGGCAGCAGUGGGGAAUAUUGGACAAUGGGCGCAAGCCUGAUCCAGCCAUGCCGCGUGGAUGAUGAAGGCCUUAGGGUUGUAAGUCUUUAACGGGGAAGAUAAUGACGGUACCGUAGAAUAAGCCCGGCUAACUUCGCGCCAGCAGCGC
rnacentral:rRNA from 1 species